rnacentral:rRNA from 1 species
GACGUAGGGCGCGAGCGUUGUCCGGAUUUAUUGGGCGUAAAGAGCUCGUAGGCGGCUUGUCGCGUCGACUGUGAAAUCCCGCGGCUCAACUGCGGGUCUGCAGUCGAUACGGGCAGGCUAGAGUUCGGUAGGGGGAGACUGGAAUUCCUGGUGUAGCGGUGAAAUGCGCAGAUAUUCAGGGAGGGAAACACCCAGUGGGCGAAAGGGCGGGCCCUCCCUUGGGACGUCCCACUGACGCUGAGACGCGAAAAAGCGUGGGGGGGAGCAAAACAGGG